rnacentral:rRNA from 1 species
UCGAGCGGACAGAAGGGAGCUUGCUCCCGGAUGUUAGCGGCGGACGGGUGAGUAACACGUGGGUAACCUGCCUGUAAGACUGGGAUAACUCCGGGAAACCGGAGCUAAUACCGGAUAGUUCCUUGAACCGCAUGGUUCAAGGAUGAAAGACGGUUUCGGCUGUCACUUACAGAUGGACCCGCGGCGCAUUAGCUAGUUGGUGAGGUAACGGCUCACCAAGGCGACGAUGCGUAGCCGACCUGAGAGGGUGAUCGGCCACACUGGGACUGAGACACGGCCCAGACUCCUACGGGAGGCAGCAGUAGGGAAUCUUCCGCAAUGGACGAAAGUCUGACGGAGCAACGCCGCGUGAGUGAUGAAGGUUUUCGGAUCGUAAAGCUCUGUUGUUAGGGAAGAACAAGUGCAAGAGUAACUGCUUGCACCUUGACGGUACCUAACCAGAAAGCCACGGCUAACUACGUGCCAGCAGCCGCGGUAAUACGUAGGUGGCAAGCGUUGUCCGGAAUUAUUGGGCGUAAAGGGCUCGCAGGCGGUUUCUUAAGUCUGAUGUGAAAGCCCCCGGCUCAACCGGGGAGGGUCAUUGGAAACUGGGAAACUUGAGUGCAGAAGAGGAGAGUGGAAUUCCACGUGUAGCGGUGAAAUGCGUAGAGAUGUGGAGGAACACCAGUGGCGAAGGCGACUCUCUGGUCUGUAACUGACGCUGAGGAGCGAAAGCGUGGGGAGCGAACAGGAUUAGAUACCCUGGUAGUCCACGCCGUAAACGAUGAGUGCUAAGUGUUAGGGGGUUUCCGCCCCU